ensembl:lncRNA
AUGGCGGUACCGGCGGUGUCAGCUUUUGAUAAGCUGAGUAGACGGCAUGGGAUUAAAGUACUUGCUGAGACACAAUGCUCAGUGGAGCAGUGUAGUUUAGCGGUGGCAGAUGUGGUGGGAUGUGAGAGUAUAAUAUCUGCAUCUCGGAUGAACAGCGCUGUUGUGUUGUUUUUAGACAGCAUUGAUAAAGUGAAUUUAGUGGUAGAAAAUGUCAUUGUGAUCAAUGAUACUUUCACCCCGGUGAUGCCGCUUGUGCAACCGGCGAAGAGAGUAACGCUUUCAAAUGUGCCGCCGUUCAUUAAAGAUGAAACGUUGGAGAGAGAGCUGAUGAGGCAUGGUAAAAUCAUGUCGAAGAUUAAAAAAGUCCCAAUGCGGUGUAAUUCUCCCAUGUUGCAGCAUGUGGUAUCUUUCAGAAGACAUGUGUACAUGAUUCUGAAUAAUGAAAAUGAAGAAUUAAACCUGGUUAUGAAAUUCAAAGUUGAUAAUUUUGGUUAUGUGAUUUUUGCGACCUCUAGCAUGAUGAAAUGCUUCGGUUGCGGGAUGGAAGGUCACACUAUUAGAGCAUGUCCAGAUAAAGAAAUACAAAGUGCAGUGCAGGAUAAUGUGGCAACGGUAGGGACGAGCGCUGACAGUGUUAGAGCGCGUAAUCCCAAACUCAAUGCGGAGAGCAACGGUAGUGAAGUUGUGGAGACGAUGGAGGUGAAUACUAUGGCAAUUGAUGAUACAACGGUGGUAAAUGGAGAUGUAAAUAUUGUUUCAAACGGUGGUGAAGGAAAAGAUGAUUCGGUACAGAAAAAUGAAGUUGCUGCUGUUGUGGCUGAGGCGGGUAGUGAUGGUUUGGAUAUGGCAGAGGAUGAAUCUAUGUUCAAAACCCCUGCAAUGAAAAGAAAGAGAAAGAAAAAAGCAAAGAAAAUAGUGGAGGGUAACGGCUUAAACGUUGAGGAGGAUGAAGUCGAUUCAGACACUAGUUGUCUUAAUGAAUCUGCUCAGGGAAGUGAGUGUGAGUCUUCAGACUCUUCUGUGGCUGUGAGGAGGUCAGUAAGAAUUGCUUAUACUUUGGAGAAAAUGAAGAUAUUUCUGCAGAACACUAAAGGAAUGAAAGGGGUGAAAGUAGAGGAAUUUUUCCCGGAUAGGCAAAGAUUCUUGGACACAGCUAAAAUAUUGAUGAAGGAGACAGGGGAGUGUGGAUUUACAGAUCAAGAAAUUUUCAGAUUAAAGAAAAUACUGCAUAAAAUCAAACUAAAUAUGCUUAAUGAAGAAUUUGAGAUGGCUUGA